AUGAAUACAAAAGGGAAAGAGGAGAGAAGUACCUGACAUAUGUUCUCCAGGCCUUUUAGAAAGCAUGAAGUUGCUCCUUUGGCCACAUAUAUGUGAAUCUAUCAGAAAGAUGAUAUUGUAGACAUCAGGGGAAUGGUCACUGUUCAAAAAGGAAUGCCCCACAAGUGUCACCAUGGCUAAACUGGAAGAGUCUACAAUGUUACCCAGCAUGCUGCUGGCAUUGUGGUAAACAAGUUAAGGGCAAGAUUCUUGCCAAGAAUUAAUGGGUGUAUGGAGCAUAUUAAGCUAAGAGCUGAGAUAGCUUCCUGAAACACAUGAAGGAAAAUGAUCAGAAAAAGAAGGAAGCCAAAGAGAAAGGUACCUGGAUUAGACUGAAGUACCAGCCUGCUCCACCCAGAGAAGCGCACUUUGUGGGAACCAGUGGGAAGGAGCCUGAGCUGCUGGGACUUAUUCUCUAUGAAUUCAUGCAUAA
rnacentral:lncRNA from 1 species